AACGUUUGUGCGAUCAUUUGAAGAAAGCAUUGCACAUGAAAGCCGACACAAAUGAGCAGUUGAAUCUGCUCCUUGAAAAUCUUAGUAAAAGCGGUAUACACCUGAAUGUAACAACAAUAGAAAAGUGGUCUAAGUCUGAGAAAGAUCUCUAUAGUAAGAAGUCGGAGAAGAGAGCCACAGCGAAUGUUACGGACGUCACAGAACAGUAUGCGGAAAAGUUGAAAGAGUAUUAUGACACAAGAGCCAAGCUUGCAGAGAUCGAGG